AUAUUCCUACGGGGGGCAGCAGUGAGGAAUAUUGGUCAAUGGGCGAGAGCCUGAACCAGCCAAGUCGCGUGAGGGAUGACGGUCCUAUGGAUUGUAAACCUCUUUUGUCAGGGAGCAAGGCCCGCCACGUGUGGCGGGAAGGAGAGUACCCGAAGAAAAAGCAUCGGCUAACUCCGUGCCAGCAGCCGCGGUAAUACGGAGGAUGCGAGCGUUAUCCGGAUUUAUUGGGUUUAAAGGGUGCGUAGGCGGAAGGUUAAGUCAGCGGUCAAAUGGCGG
rnacentral:rRNA from 1 species